rnacentral:rRNA from 2 species
UACGUAGGGGGCGAGCGUUGUCCGAAUUUACUGGGCGUAAAGAGCAUUAAGGCGGAUCCUUAAGUGAGAGGUGAAAGGUUCAGGGCUCAACCCGAACACUGCCUUUCAUACUGGGGAUCUUGAGUACGGGAGAGGCGAGUGGAAUUUCUGGUGUAGCGGUGAAAUGCGUAGAUAUCAGAAGGAACACCCAUGGCGAAGGCAGCUCGCUGGCCUGUAACUGACGCUGUAGUGCGAAAGCGUGGGGAGCAAACAGG